rnacentral:misc_RNA from 1 species
GAUGAAGAACGCAGCGAAAUGCGAUACGUAAUGUGAAUUGCAAAUUCAGUGAAUCAUCGAGUCUUUGAACGCACAUUGCGCCCCCUGGUAUUCCGGGGGGCAUGCCUGUCCGAGCGUCAUUGCUGCCCUCAAGCACGGCUUGUGUGUUGGGCCCCGUCCUCCGAUCCCGGGGGACGGGCCCGAAAGGCAGCGGCGGCACCGCGUCCGGUCCUCGAGCGUAUGGGGCUUUGUCACCCGCUCUGUAGGCCCGGCCGGCGCUUGCCGAUCAACCAAAAUUUUUUAUCCAGGUUGACCUCGGAUCAGGUAGGGAUACCCGCUGAACUUAAGCAUAUCAAUAAGCGGAGGA